UACGGAGGGUGCGAGCGUUGUUCGGAAUCACUGGGCGUAAAGCGCGUGUAGGCGGCCCACUAAGUCUGAUGUGAAAGCCCGGGGCUCACCCCCCGGAAGUGCAUUGGAAACUGGUGGACUCGAGUCCCGGAGAGGAGAGUGGAAUUCCGUGGUGUAGCGGUGAAAUGCGUAGAUAUCGAGGAGGAACACCGGUGGCGAAGGCGGCUCUCGUGGACGGUGACUGACGCUGAGACGCGAAAGCUGGGGGAGCGAACGGG
rnacentral:rRNA from 1 species